rnacentral:lncRNA from 1 species
UAAGUUCUCAGUUUCUAUCGUAGCUGUUUGUUUGAAUCGUUCAAUUAUGAUUUUGCAUAAUUAAUUAACACUGGAAGUGAAUUUUGCAGUUAUCUUCUAAAGGGUCAACUUGGGAUGAGAUUGAUUUCGAGUUCUUGGGGAAUUUGAGCAAUGAUCCGUACAUUCUCCACACCAACGUGUUUAGCCAAGGCAAAGGCAAUAGAGAGCAACAAUUUUACCUGUGGUUUGACCCAACUACAGAUUUCCACACCUAUUCCAUCCUCUGGAAUCCUCAACUUAUCAUGUAAGCCAAACAUCUCCUUCAAUUUCCUCUAGCGAUUUACUCUGGUAAGAAAAUGAGUCAAGUCUAACUUGAGACCAAAAGCUAGCUCUAGAGAAAUGUCAAAAGGAGUACAUCAUCAAAUCAAUGAUGUAAUUUAACACAUCCUCUUGUUCACAUGAUCAAACACCUGAAGCGCAACACAGUUAAGUAGUCGAGUGUAACUUCCAAAAGCUAAGCCCAAGGAAGAGGGAUACUCAAAACUUCAUAAAGGGUACAUUUUCCAAACAAAUGUGGGAUUUUAACAUUCUGUACUAAGAUGUUUUUUUUUCUUCCUCUUUUUUCAGCUUCUCUGUGGAUGGUACCCCAAUUAGAGAGUUCAAAAACUUGGAGUCCAUUGGUGUUCCAUUCCCAAAGAAUCAACCAAUGAGGAUUUACUCUAGUCUAUGGAAUGCUGAUGAUUGGGCUACAAGGGGUGGUCUUGUAAAGACAAACUGGACUCAAGCUCCUUUCACUGCUUCCUAUAGGAACUUCAAAGCAAAUGCUUGUGUUUGGUCUAGUGGAGCAUCUUCUUGUGGUGCAAAUUCUACAACUUCUGCCUCUAACAGCAAACCUUGGCUUUCAGAUGAACUUGAUUCAACAAGCCAGGAGAGGCUGAAAUGGGUGCAGAAGAAUUAUAUGAUAUAUAAUUACUGCACUGAUUCGAAGAGAUUUCCACAGGGACUUCCUCCUGAAUGCAAUAUGUCUUAGAUCUGUGAUGAACUCAAUAUUGGUUAUGUAUAGGGAAAUUAAUACCUCGGUGUCUUGUGUUAAUGUAUAGAAAGGUGUUCAUGAGAAUGGUUUCAAUAAUUUUUGUUGUAUUUGAGAUUCAUGAAUUUAAAUUCAAAAUAAUGUUAAAUAUUUUGUUUGAUUAAUAGAAAGAAUUUUAAUUUCUAAGUUUUAAAUUUAAAAGUAGGGGAGUGUAUUUAAUUAAAAAAAUUGCAAAAAUUACUAUUUAAUUUAUGUAGUUUAACCUUAAUCAUUUCAAAUAUUUCUAAUCACUUUAAUAAAUAUAGAAUUAAAUAGUUAACGGUCAAUUAAUAUAUUCUUUAAAUAUAUUAUUUUGAUAAUAUUAAAAUUUAUUAUAUUAUAAAUUUACUAUUUAAUUUGAUUAUUUAAAGUUAAAUCUAAAAUUUAAAAAUAAUUGUCAUCGUACAAAAUAAAGAGAUUAAGAUUUUUUUUUAAAAAAAAUAGGGAUCAAGGGACCGAGUAAAUUUUAAAAUCUCUCCGAUUUACUGCACUCGUCACCCGAUUAAAUUUGGAAAGAAUUUAAGAUUUUAUAAUUAGCUAUAAUUAAGGAUUAUUCAUUAGCAUAUGUAUUAGGAUUUUUAAACUAUAUUAUUGAUUUAUGAAAGAUAAUCAAUCAGAUAAUAAUAAAUUAAAUAAUAUAAAUAUAAAUAUAAAAUUUAAUUAACUGUGAAAAUAAAUGAUUAAAUAUUUAAUAAAACUAAAAUUAGUGAAAGUUUUCAAUGCUAAAAGUAAUUUUAUAAAUGCUAGAUCAAGAAAGCUAUUAUUUAGUUGCAUUAUCAUCUGAUGUAUAUAAAGAUUUUAUAUUUUAAUAGUAAUUAAAGAUUUUUCUUAAAAAAAUAAAAUUCUAUCACUAAUUUAAAUAAACAAAUUAAACUUUCAACAUUAAUUAUUAAAUAUGUCUAAAUAUAUGUAUAAAAUCCUUUUAUUAUGUAUUAUGGAAAAUAUUUCAUAUUUUUAUUUUUGAGAUAUUUAAAAUCAUUAUUAUUGAUAGCAAAUUAAAGAAAAAUAAAUUAAAACCUUAAACUUGAUUUUAUUUAAUUUCAAAUAAUAUUAAUCAAUUGAAUAAAAUUCAAAAUAAUAAUAAUAAGAAAGUGAAUAAAAAGAAAUACAAAAUAGUAAAUAUAUAUAUAAUAAAUAAAAAGAUAUGCAGAGUGGUGACUAAAUUAUUAAUAAAUUUAUUAAAUUACAAUUUUAUUUAAGAUAAAAAUAAUUAUAUUAACAAUUAAUAAUUUCUUUGAAUAUUAAGAUGCGAGUGAUAGAAAAAUUAAAAAGAGAAUGGAAAAUAUGAAGGGGAAUAUUUAAAAUGAUUUUUUUUUUUUAAAAAAAAUUGUAACUUAAAAACAUUUUAUACCAGUUUAGGUUGAAUUAUUUUGAUUCUCAGAAUUUUUUCUUAAGGCCUCGUUGAAAAAAUAACUUGAGCCUCUACUUAAAUUUCUAGAUUCACCAUUGGUUGAAUUUGAUGUAAACACGACCAACAAUACCAAAAAUGAUGAGCUAGUAUUGCCUCAAGGACCAAUUACAAGGCUGAGAUCCAAGAGGUUGAAGGAAGCACUUCAAGGAUUUAUGAAGGAAGCACUUCAAGGAUUCAUGAAGGAAUAUACUGAAGCUUUGCAAGUUCAUUUUGAAGUUGAAGAACAAUCUGGCCAUUCCAAGUCAAUUAGGCCAAAUGUGUCCAGUUAGUAGUUAACCAGUAGUGGGUAGUUAUUUGGUAGUGGGUAGUUAAACAAGUAGUGGGUAGUUAUCUAGUAGUGGAUAGUGGCAUAGAUUAUGGGUCCAUGCAGUGAGAAGUGGCAUAGAUCAUGGGUCCAUGUAUAGUAGUGGGAAGUGGCAAAGAUCAUGGGUCUUAAUUUAGGCUAUAUAAAACAUCUCUUUUUCUAUAUUGUACAAACAGAUUAUUAAUUAUUCAAUACAAUUUGCUUUAUGCGAUUCUUCUUUGAGAGCUUAAGAGAGAUCUUGAUUCUUGACAUUGCAUCACGAAUAAGGUUUGAUACUAACUUGUAUGUUUCUUAUUCUUGCUGCUCUUGAAAUCAAUCCAUUAUAAGUGUUUUUAAUUGCAUGUUAAUUAAGGGUGCUUUAGAUUUUCUGAAUUAUUUUCUGAAUUAAGUUCCUUUUUACUAGAGUAUGUGUCGUUUCAGUCUCUAAUAGGCUGGGGUUCCGUAUCAGAAUUCUACCGGUUUGUAUGGUUGCUCCUUAAUUAAAGUCAAAGAGAAAGUGUAAAAAAAAUAUUAUGCAGGUACACUUAUUUUUACUUUAAAGUUUGAUGGAGCAAGAGUGACAUGACUCUUCAACAAUAAAUUGUGCAUUGAACUUCAAACUCUUCAAAGACUCUAUAUGAAAAAUUUCAAAUUAUGAAGAAUCAAAGAGAUAUUCUGAAUACUACGUUUGGAAGACAAAAAAAAGAAAUGACUUUAUUUUUUUUUAAAAUUCAUGAGUUCAAUUUCAACUAUUAUUUAUUUACCGUUAGAAGUUUAUAUAUGUAUAAUAUUUUUUAUAUCUUUUAUAAUUCUAUAGAAAUUAGGAGUCAAAUUGAUAUCACUGAUUAAUAAAAUUCUCUUCUAUAAAGAAAGAUUUUGGCUUGUUAAACGAUGGAUGAAUUUCAUAGUUUCUACAUCAAGUAUGAGACUUUCAAUAUUUCUUUAUUUUCUCAGAAGUGGCAAUUAUAGAAGGAAGUAGAUUUAUAUUUGAUUUAUGAGACAUUUGGUUAUAAAUAACCUUUAUUUUAUGGACAAGGAAAGAAGGCCAAUAAAUAAAGAAAUUAAUUUUUUUUCAUAAUAAGAAUUUCUUUUAUCCAUUGCAAAGAUGGUUAAUUCUUUGUACCUUCAUGUCUAGUAGCUUAUUAGGGAUCAAGCUUGUAGUGUUUUAAUAUGGGUUUCCUCACUCUUACUUAGUUAACUUAUUAAGAAAUUACGGUGACAUUCUCCAAUUGGAAUUGUUUGAUUAUUUAUAUUUCUAAUCACAUUAGUCGGUUAGAAGUGUAGUAGAACAACCUUUGGAAUAUAUAUUUGCCUUAUUCUUUAAUAAAUUGUGUGAUGAAGUUUUUUUAUAACGAGUUGAUUUUGGACUCUGCAUCGAUUGAUAUCAGAGAAUAGGCCAUAAAUAAAUUCUAAUUUAUCUAUUUUGAUCGUUAUUUUGUUCAAUUUCCAAUUGAUGUGAAACUUCAUAUUAAUAAAGUUAUCUAAAACUCCAAUAUACAAUAAUAUAAAGUCACACACCAAAAUUAAUUUUCAAGCGUUAUACUGCAUUAUUAAAUAAUAAAUAGAACAAAAAUGUAAAUAAUCAAAUAAGAAAACAAAAAUGAAAUCAGCACAAAUUUACUAAUCUUGAUAAAAUGUCAAUUCUUAAUACAACACAAAGUUAAACAAAAUUCUCUUUAGAAUUUUAUUAACCAGAGAAGAUAAUUAUUUAUAAAACAAAUUUUAAAUUCGUGUCGGCCAGUUAAAAAGGUUUUUAUAGUCUUCUAAACUCUAACCCUAAUAGUAAAAAGAUUAAUUUCAAUAUAGAAAGAAUUAUUGAUUAAAUAGUCAAACUUUCCUCAAUAAGAAUUGUAAUAAAAAUCUUUUCGCAGUUGACUUCUUAUAGGAUGAAUGAAUUUAGCUAUCUAAAUUAAGUCUAAUUAAUUUAAAAUAAGUCUAAUAAAGUACCAAAACUCCAAAAAUAAUAAAAUAAGGCUAAGUGCAUUUGGAUAAUAAUGUGUUAUAUAGGCAAAACAGGUGUUGCAUACUCCAAAUGAGUUGGAAUUCAUGUAUUAUAGCUCUUUACUUCCUUAAACUAUUUUAGUUGAUUUCUAAUCUUUUAGUAGGUACUCAUGCGUUCCAAGCUUAAUCAUCCAGUUGCUUGCUUAUUUGCAAAUUAUCAUGAAUAAUCUUUGGCGAAUUUUUUCAUGCUUUCGAAGAAUACCUUUAUUCACCUAUGAUAAUUUGAUAUUAAAUAAUUCGAAAGUUCGUUUCGAGUUUCAUAACUAGUAUUUUUGAAGAUUUUUAGAAUUUCCAUAUAUUUUAAUUUAUUUAAAAGUAAUGUCUCUUAUGGACGUAUCAGAUUUCAUAAUUCAAUUUGUGUCAAAAUAGUAACUUGAAUCAUGGUACCAUAAUUUGUGAUUCAAUUUAUAUUAAAUUAAUGCUCAUGAUAUUCAAAGCUUCAUCUUAUUACAUUUUUUUUGGUCUUAAAUAUAUAUCACUCGAUCAGCCAAACGCAUGUGCUAUUAAAGUUAGAAAUUGUCCUUGUGAUCGGGUUAGAGUUUUAAUUCUCUUAAUUCAUUAGCUAUUCUCCUAGAUUAAAAUAGAACAUUCAUGAAUGAAAAUUUUUUCUAUUGGAUGAUGAUGAUUUUAAUAAUAAUUUUAAAAAUAAUUUUCGAUACAAAUUAUGAUUCGAACUUAACUAAAAUAGUUAACAUUAUUUUUUUAAAUAAAUAAAAUAAUUAAAUUUUAUUAUUCAAAUUACAUUAUCCACCAAAUAAUUAGCUGGACCUAAAUAAAUAAAUAAAUCUAUUACCGAGAUAUUUAUUUAAUAUAUUUUUAUUAUAAAUAUCUAGAAAAAUUUAAAAAAAUUAUGAGUCUUUUUAAUAAAAAAUGUAUAUAUUUACUAAAAUAGUUUUUAAAAAAAUUGAGGGGCCAAGAAUGGUAUUAUAUAAUGCACAAUAAUAAUUUAAAAUAUUUAAAUUAUUUAAUAGAUAUAAAAUAAGAAAAUUGGUGAGGUUUGGGGGGCCGGGGCCACACCAUCUUCCCCUCUGUCCACAGUGAAGUACUUCUACCUUAAAACCCCCCAGUGCUUAGCCAUUUCCUCGUCCCACUUCAGAACAAUUUCUAUUUUCUCACUCCUAUUUCCCAUUACAAUGGCUUCUUCAAGGUUUUCAAAUCACUUAUUGUUUCUCUCUCUUGUAAUUAGCUAUCUGAUGUUUGCAUUUUCUGGGAACUUCAACGAAGAGUUUGACAUCACCUGGGGAGAUGGUCGAGCUAAGAUACUUAACAAUGGGGAGCUGCUUACCCUUAACCUUGACAAAGCUUCUGGGUCAGGAUUCCGAUCCAAGAAUGAGUAUCUGUUUGGGAAGUUUGAUAUGCAGCUCAAGCUUAUUCCUGGCAACUCUGCUGGUACCGUCACUGCCUAUUAUGUAAGUUCUCAGUUUCUAUCAGUUGCUGUUUGUUUGAAUCGUUCAAUUAUGAUUUUGCAUAAUUGAUUAACACUGGAAGUGAAUUUUGCAGUUAUCUUCUAAAGGGUCGACUUGGGAUGAGAUUGAUUUCGAGUUCUUGGGGAAUUUGAGCAAUGAUCCAUACAUUCUCCACACCAACGUGUUUAGCCAAGGCAAAGGCAAUAGAGAGCAACAAUUUUACCUGUGGUUUGACCCAACUGCAGAUUUCCACACCUAUUCCAUCCU